AACGAACGCUGGCGGCAUGCCUAACACAUGCAAGUCGAACGAGACCUUCGGGUCUAGUGGCGCACGGGUGCGUAACGCGUGGGAACCUGCCCUUAUGUUCGGAAUAACUCCCCGAAAGGGGUGCUAAUACCGGAUAAUGUCUUCUGUCCAAAGAUUUAUCGCCUUUGGAUGGGCCCGCGUUGGAUUAGCUAGUUGGUAGGGUAAAAGCCUACCAAGGCGACGAUCCAUAGCUGGUCUGAGAGGAUGAUCAGCCACACUGGGACUGAGACACGGCCCAGACUACUACGGGAGGCAGCAGUGGGGAAUAUUGGACAAUGGGCGAAAGCCUGAUAAAGCAAUGCCGCGUGAGUGAUGAAGGCCUUAGGGUUGUAAAGCUCUUUUACCCGGGAUGAUAAUGACAGUACCGGGAGAAUAAGCUCCGGCUAACUCCGUG
rnacentral:rRNA from 1 species